rnacentral:rRNA from 1 species
UCCGGUUGAUCCUGCCAGAGGCCGCUGCUAUCCGGCUGGGACUAAGCCAUGGGAGUCAUGGGGCGCGGGCCCUUCGGGGUUCGCGCACCGGCGGACGGCUCAGUAACACGUGGCCAACCUGCCCUCGGGAGGGGGAUAACCCCGGGAAACUGGGGCUAAACCCCCAUAGGGGAUGGGUGGUGGAAUUCCCCCAUCCCCGAAAGUGUGCGGUUGCCGUAAGGCGCCGCACAGCCCGAGGAUGGGGCUGCGGCGGAUUAGGUAGUUGGCGGGGUAACGGCCCGCCAAGCCGAAGAUCCGUACGGGCCAUGAGAGUGGGAGCCCGGAGAUGGCCCCUGAGACAAGGGGCCAGGCCCUACGGGGCGCACCAGGCGCGAAACCUCCGCAAUGCGGGAAACCGCGACGGGGUCGGCCGGAGUGCCCGCGCAUCGCGCGGGCUGUCGGGGAGCCUAAACAGCUCCCCAUAGCAAGGGCCGGGCAAGGCCGGUGGCAGCCGCCGCGGUAAUACCGGCGGCCCGAGUGGCGGCCACUAUUAUUGGGCCUAAAGCGUCCGUAGCCGGGCGGGUAAGUCCCCCGGGAAGUCU